rnacentral:rRNA from 1 species
UACGAGGGGAGCAAGAGUUGUUCGGAUUUACUGGGCGUAAAGGGCGCGUAGGCGGCCACGACAAGUCACUUGUGAAAUCUCCGGGCUUAACUCGGAACGGUCAAGUGAUACUGUCGGGCUAGAGUACAGAAGGGGCAACUGGAAUUCUCGGUGUAGCGGUGAAAUGCGUAGAUAUCGAGAGGAACACCUGCGGCGAAGGCGGGUUGCUGGGCUGAUACUGACGCUGAUGCGCGAAAGCCAGGGGAGCAAACGGG